AUAUACGUAAUCUCACAGAUUUCAAAAGAAAAAGAAACGAAUGGCCGAUGGGGUUUAAAAAGAUCCAAAGAAUGGCAUGAGAUACAUGUACCCCUAUGUUUUCCGAGUGAUGCCCCUCCUCCGCUUCCUCUCCUCUCCUCCCCUUCUCCAAGUCCGAUAGCCCUCCGGAACCAGGACAACAACGGCCGCUCCACCUAUCCCUCUCCACCGCCUACGGCGCCGGCGACCUCGGCCCCUCCGUCCGUCCCCUCUCCACCCCCUCCUUCCCCGCCCUGCAGGAAGACGAGAUCGGCUCCGUUGGCGACGAUGGCGUCCCCUUCGAAGCCGUCAUCCAGUUCGUGAAGCCCGCUUCUCCCAACAAGCUCGUCUCUUAGGCGUGGGUCUUUUGGCCGGACGGGAUGUUCUGUGCCUGCUUAUCUUCUCGAUGGUUGGGAGGUUCAGCCAUGGACUCCCUGUUCUUGACGUCGAGACCUUGCAGACUGCAAAUAGACCCUCAGUUUCCACCCAGCAAUGAAAGGUGAAGGACAUGGGCAGUGGGAAUACCGUUGUUCAUGUCAUUGGUUUGGAGAUGGUGAUUUUGGGCCCUCUAUGGUUUCUGUUUCUCCUUCAUAUCCAUUUACUACCACCAGACGUUGCUACCCAAUCUGCGGUCCAUGGGACGGCCUUCCUCCUCUCUUCACCUCGACGUCGUGACCUGAAAGAGAUCUGCUGCCCGCCCGGCGCCAGUGGGUGUUGCUCCUAGAUCCAUUACUAGAGUUGUCAUCUUCUUCCUUGUCAUUUCUAUAAUUCGGUGUCUUCACUCUUCUUGAUUCAAUUAACUCAAGUCGUAGAUCAAUGCAUGGUAAUAAUCAAGGACUUGAUAUAGAUUCUUCACGGGAAGCUUGGUCAUGAUUAAGGACCAUCGAAUGGGCCUUCCCUCUAGGUAUUCAGUGAGUGCAAGCUCGAAGGCUUUGUCCUUGUACCAGCUCCAUUCAUUUUGCGGGGAAGGAGUCCUGUUAGAAGCCAUGAAUUCUCUUUCAGAAGAGAAUGAUAGAUUGUAUUGUAAUUACUCGAGGUAAUCAAGGGAGGUGUAGAACUUGGCGAUAGUUCUUGAGACAGUCUUCCAUUCUCAAGCCAAGCGAAGAUGCAUAGAAAGUCCAAACAGAUGUAUGAGGAUCGGAUCCUUUGAUUUGUUGCCUUCCUACGUUUGACUCUUUUCCGUUCGGUCGACAUGUACAUGACUCUCUAUUAAAAAAAAGGUCAUGUAUAUAACUCUUGAGCCGCGUUAGAUUUAGGAACAAGAAAAAUAGAAACAGUGAAAAUUCUGUCUAUGGAAAUAGUUAUAUCAUGAUUUGUAUCGAUUUUUAUUUGGGAUCUUAUUUUUGAAUAACAAAUAGUAUUUUUUUGCAUGAUACUUUGAAUGAUGGUUUUUUGUCCAAGGAAUAGUUUAUGAUAGUGCUUGCCAGUUAUAAACAAGUUUGAGUGGCACAACUAUUCUUUGCUAUGUUUUCUUUCCAAAUAUUGUGGCGGCCCUAAGAUUUAUGUGGCCUUGUGCCUACUUUAUGCAUGAUCUGAACCCAUGCGACCUUGAUGUUUCAAACACAUGCACAAGCUCUCGAGGGAACUGUAGGUCAGUGGGGACUGGUCUUGGUGUCAACCAGAUUGAGUGAAAUGACCUUUCAGGCUGGAGCAAAAGCUCGGAUGUGUUCUGUAGCCUUGAGUUGGUCGAUGCCUUGGCCUUGUUUCUUCCCAUGCACAUGCACAUGAGAUUCUUUCUUCAUCCAUCAUAGCUUUUUUUUUUAUUUGCUGAAAAUCCAUCAUAGCAUUCAGAGGGUGUCAGGAGGUAUGACUCUCUGAUGCCCACCAUUUCAACCACAUCGUUGCACUUGGAUUUAAGCAUCUUGCGAGUAUGAAAACUAUGAAACCACCUUCAGCUAAACUUAAACUCUUUAUCUUCUCUCAAAUCAUUGGCAUGGCCACAAUCAAUCGAGUCUUAUAAUUAUUAGAAUAACCAUGAAUACAAACCUUGCCUAUUUUGUAUUCACUUUGCGCGUCUUUCUUCUGUAUAUAUAUACUUCAAACAUCCUAAAAUGAAUGUUAUACAGUUCAAAAUCCCUUCUAAUUUCCUUUAUUCAUUAUCAUCUUUUUGAUCUAAAGUCAAGAUAUCAUCGAGCCCAUAUAUAGUUCUCAUCCAACGCUACCCCUUAAAAUUAUCCU